AUUGAACGCUAGCGGCAUGCCUUACACAUGCAAGUCGAACGAGUGGCGGACGGGUGAGUAAUAUAUCGGAACGUGCCCAGUAGCGGGGGAUAACUACUCGAAACAGUGGCUAAUACCGCAUACCAUCGGAGCGGCCCAUAUUGGAUUAGCUAGUUGGUGGGGUAAAGGCUCACCAAGGCAACGAUCCGUAGCUGGUUUGAGAGGACGACCAGCCACACUGGGACUGAGAAACGGCCCAGACUCCUACGGGAGGCAGCAGUGGGGAAUAUUGGACAAUGGGGGCAACCCUGAUCCAGCCAUCCCGCGUGUAUGAGAAGGCCUUCGGGUUGUAAAGUACUUUUGGCAGAGAAGCGGUAUCUGCAGAAUAAGCACCGGCUAACUACGUGCCAGCAGCCGCGGUAAUAC
rnacentral:rRNA from 1 species